UUAGCGGCGGACGGGUGAGUAACGCGUGGGAACAUACCCUUUGGUACGGAAUAACCACGGGAAACUGUGGCUAAUACCGUAUACGCCCUCCGGGGGAAAGAUUUAUCGCUGUUUGAUGAGCCCGCGUCGGAUUAGCUUGUUGGUGAGGUAAUGGCUCACCAAGGCAACGAUCCGUAGCUGGUCUGAGAGGAUGACCAGCCACACUGGGACUGAGACACGGCCCAGACUCC
rnacentral:rRNA from 1 species